GGGGCCGUGGCUCAGCGGCAGAGCAUCUGCUCGCCAUGCAGAAGGUCCCAGGUUCAGUCCCUGGCGUCUCCA